GGAAAACUAAAUGGCCUUUUCUGAAGUGAACAACAUCUUAAUUGCUUUGAGAUCCAAAUCAUAGUUGACGAAGCUCCAUGGACAUUGAGGAUCACACUGGCCUCAGGGCUGGGGAGGAUGGAGUUACGGAUGGCUGUGAGGAGCCUCCCCAUGGCCACUCUGGGUGCCCAGACUGCUCCGCUGGUGUUGGCAUCUCACUGACGGGACGGAAAGGUGUGGUUUCCACCAGGCUGGAGCCAGAUGGCACCCACAGAAGCAGAUAGAAAACAGAGAGGGCCAGAAGUGAUCUUAAGACCAUGUCGAUAACUCACAGUCGUGAGGUUGCCAGGGAUGGGGGUAUUGCCAGGGAAGUAUUGGGAGUUUGGGGUUAGCAGAUGUGAACUGGUAAAAUAGGAUGGAUUAACAACCAAGUCCUCCUGUAGAGCACAGGGAACUCUACUCAGUAUCUUGUGAUAGACAAUAAUGGGACCAUAAUGGGAAAGAACAUACGUAUAUAUGUGUAACUCAGUAACUUUGCUGUACGGUAGAAAUGAACACAACGUUGUAAAUUGACUAUACUUCAACAAAAUUAAAAAACAAACAAACAGUGCUGAUGUUUAAAACAGAUGUCCCAGGUGGGGACAAGUGGCCAUGCUGAUCCACAGAGUUUUCAGGCCUGACCCCCACACUCCUCAUUUAUACAGUCCUUCCCAGACUGGUAGAAUUUCUUUUUGCAAAAUUAUCCCUGUCUAAUCCAUAGAGACGAAAGUGGAUUAGUGGUUGCCAGGGGCUGAGGGGGGAGGGGCAGGAGAUGGGGAGUGACUGCUAAUGGGUGUGGGAUUCUUUGGGGGGCGAUGACAGUGUUCUGGAAUUAGUGGCGAUGGCUGCUCGGCUCUUGAACGUGCUGAAAACGUGGCACUGUACAGUCUAAAAGGGUGCAUUGGGUGGUGUGGCAGUGACAUCUCAAUAAAGCUAUUUAAGAAGUACCCGUGCCGCUCGUUGCUGGCCCGACUCCAGCUUCUGGACCUCUGGUCUCCAGCUAUGGUGGCAGGCUCCCAGGAGGUGACUCUGCCAGUCCUGCCGGCUGUACUGGACUCUGUCGUCAGCCUUUGCUUCUGCCCAAACACUUGCAGAAGUUGUCACGUGCAGAGCGCUUGAGGACCAAGCUGGGGUCAGAAUUCUGAGCUGCACCUGAAGCAUAGAGGGCCUGGACUUGUGCUGCAGCGUGACACUGAUGUGUAAAGUCCCUGUAGGAGGAAAACCAGAGUGCGCCGUGGGAUCCAGGCAACGGGGUGGAAGGAGACAAGGGGCCUUUUCUUUCUGGACUCUUGGCAACGACCGGACCCUCUGAAAAGAUUCAUGGUUACCCGUCAUUAGGCCUCGGGUCCCCCAGCACCGGGGCUGGGGCAUGGACAGUGACAGCCCCGUCAGCAAGUUCCUGCUGGGGCGCCGCAGGUGCCUUGGGCAGCCCUACCGUGUUCGCUCUUCUUUCUCUUGCCAUCCCUUUAUUUUAAAUGUUUAAUGAAUUAAAAAAACUAGUAGUCUAGACAGGCUUAGAAACAGGAACUUCCUUCUCCUAGCCUCGACAUGGGAUGUCUCCAGGGGACACAUUGGUGUCUUGAGGACUGGCUUGCAGAGGGCCACCACUAGGCCCAGGGAGUGGCACUUGCGGGAUAGAAAAUGAAAGCAGGCAGAAUCUGGGUGUAAAAAGUGGGGUCUCCAGGACUACAGAGAUGUCGCCAAGACCACACUGCUUAUUGGCGUCCUCCCACAGCUCUGCUCUGCCUGGGCCCAUCCACCUCCUGCUGGCACCACACCCGCUGCAGAAAAAGGUGACCUUCUGAUGCCCUUGGGCCACACGCCACCUUCCUCCUGCCUCACUGGUCAAAGAAGGAGCCCUGGGCCAGACAGGGGUCUCCAGAAGAGUGAAGAGAGACCACAGCUGCGGAUCCACCGGCGGCACAGCCCAGCCACCGCCCAGGAGCAGCCCGUAGAUUCCAGAGAAAGCUCCUGGCUCUGUGCAGCACCUCCUGGACGCAGCCCCCGCCCCCAACCCCCACAAGGCCCAGUGGAUGGGAGCGACCAUUUGCUGUAGCCUCGGGCCGCGGCUCAGGGUUGUGCUGCAGCCGCACCGGGAGGAGUCCCUGUGCCAGGUCGGCGGGGCCUGCUCUCCUUCCCCGGGCAGGACCGGGAACCGGAACCGGAGGACGGCAGCCCCGCUCAGCAACACUUCUCUUUGUUUACCAGGCACGCCAGGCGGCGGGCCUGCUCUCUCUCCAGCCGCUCUCUCUGCCAGCUUCACGUCCAGCGAGGGACAAAGGGGCCUGCGGCGGAUUAGCUGCCCGGCGGGCAGGCCCGCGGUUCCCGCGGCGGCAGCUGCUCGCCGGCCUUGCCAAGGCGGCCGUCCUGUCCCGUCCCGUUCACUGAGGGCGGAGCGCGGCCCGGGCAGGACGCCUUCUGUGUUUAUCUGCAAGGCCGACCCCGUCCCCGCCCCGUCGGGCCGGCCGGGCCAGGCUGGGGGCCGCGGGGUCAGCGGCGGACAAUGGGCGGGCGCGCGCGCGUCCGCCCGACUCCGGGCCUUUGUUGCGGGAGCCUCGUGCCGAUGGGUUAAUGGGGCAGAAGCGAUCGGUGAAGGGCGACAGAAGUGGGCUUUGAAAGAGGGUGUCAGCGCAGGGCGGCGAGACAAAGGCCAAAACACACACGGGCGGAGAGGGACAGAUGGGGACGGGCGGCGGAGACAAUUAGGCGGCGGGCGCGGGGCGGGCGCGGCUCCAUCGUUCUGCGGUUAACCAGGCCCGGGCGCGCCGCCCCUUCGCCUCUGCGCCCGGGAGGGAGGGACGGGGGGCGGGGUAUCCCCUCCCCAUAAACAGCCGCAGAGCAGGUCCUGGGCAGCCCGCCGGCCACCCCUGUUUUCCUGCCUGACGGCCUGGGAACACAUCACGCAGCCAGCGCCCCCGGACCGGCUCGCAGGACCAGCUCGAGGACUGGUCGGUCCGCGGGAUGCUAGCCGGGCCCGCCAGGCGGCGCUGCUUCCCGCCCGGCCGCGGCC
ensembl:lncRNA